AUGUCGGCCGGGCCCGGGCGCGACGACGCGGGGAACGGGGGCGCGCGGCGGCCGCGGGAGACGGCGGAGCAGGAGCUGCAGCGGCGCCGGGAGCAGAAGCGGCGGCGGCACGACGCGCAGCAGCUGCAGCAGCUCAAGCACCUGGAGUCCUUCUAUGAAAAACCUCCUCCUGGGCUUAUCAAGGAAGAUGAGACGAAGCCAGAAGACUGUAUACCAGAUGUACCAGGCAAUGAACAUGCCAGGGAAUUUCUGGCUCAUGCUCCAACGAAAGGACUUUGGAUGCCACUGGGGAAAGAAGUCAAAGUUAUGCAGUGUUGGCGUUGUAAACGGUAUGGUCACCGAACAGGCGACAAAGAAUGCCCUUUCUUUAUCAAAGGCAACCAGAAGUUAGAACAGUUCAGAGUUGCACAUGAAGAUCCCAUGUAUGACAUCAUCCGAGAGAACAAAAGACACGAAAAGGAUGUAAGGAUACAGCAGUUGAAACAGUUACUGGAGGACUCUACCUCCGAGGAAGAUGGGAGCAGCUCCAGUUCCUCAGCAUGCAAAGAGAAACACAAGAAAAAGAAGAAGAAAGAAAAACAUAAGAAAAGGAAGAAAGACAAGAAGAAGAAGAAGAAACGAAAGCAUAAGUCUUCCAAGUCGAAUGAGAGUUCAGACUCGGAUUGAUGAGGACUUGACUGGUUGAGCAUUGUCUCCCCACAGAUCAGACACUGUGGCCAAAGACCAGAGGCCACGGUGGAGGCGGGGAGGACGAGGAGGGAGCCGCCAGAGAGCAGGGGAUUCGACGUCACCCGUGUGAAUCCUCACCUGCCUUCCAGCAAAGAUGUGACCCCAGGAGGGCCAGCCUCCACUUGUGCCCUGGACGCCGACUCUCAGGAGUUAGAGGGCAGUGAUUAAGAGCACUGGCUCCGGAUCCAGACUGCCUGGUUUUGAAUACCAGCUGCACCAUUCCUGAGCUAUCAGAUUAUACAAGUUGCCUGACCAUUCUGUGCUGCCAUUUACUUGAUGGAUAAUAUUUACCUCAUAGAAUCAUCAAGAAUGAAAGGACUCAAUACUUGUAAAACAUUUAGAACACAGUUUGGAACAUUUCAAUUGCUAAAUGAAUGUUAGUUGUUCCUGCUGCUACUUAUGCUAUCAUCAUUAUCUGUUCCUGCUUCCUCACGGAUCUUCCUUCCUUACCUCAUCACACUCCGGUCUUCACAUUCUUUCUUCCUUUCAACUGUUGCCACCAGCAUUUAAAAACUAUUUUAAAAUUGUAAAUGGAGGGGCAUCUGGCAGGCUCACUCUGUAGAGCAUGUUGACUCUUGAUCCCAAGGUUGUGAGUUCAAGACCCAUGUCGAGCAUGAAGUCUUCUUUAAAAAAAUUUUUUUGUAAAAUUUGAAAAGUAAUAACCUGCUCAUCCCAAUUCAACUGUCCUACGACUUCAUCUCACUUACUAUACACCUUGGCAGUCUCACUGCUUCCUACAAGCUUUAAGUGGCCACAAAAUUCCUUGGUUGGAAUGUGCUACCUAACCAUUUAACCAUUCUUUAUGCAGUUAAUUAUUUUGGGUUGAAAGCAAUCAAAACCCAGCAGAUUUAGAAAAAGCUCUUUACCUCCCCCUCAACUGCCUGCCUGUACAAGGAAGAGAGCUAUUAACAGAUUCCUCUUUAUCUAAGAUGCUUAUUUGUAUAAUAAUAGGGCAGCCUUUGUUUUCCAGACAUCUGUCACCUCCCUGCUGUCUUGCUCAGUCCCCUGUUCCUCUUAGCUCAUGUGUCUUACUGCUUCACUGUCUUUGGAAUUUCAUAUGUAGGAAACUGUAUUUGAUUUGUCUCAUUUCUCAUAUCAAUUUGAUUCUUAGUCCAGCUAAAAGAACCUUAAAGGGCAGAGAACAUUCUCCCUCCACAACCACCACAUACAUAUUUCUCACAAAUCACUAUACCACAGAAGGGCAAAUAUCUUAAAUAAACAAGAAUCUGUUAAUAGCUCUCUUCCUGGUACAGGCAGGUAGUUGAGGGGGAGGUAAGUAAAAAAGCUUUUUCUAAAUCUGCUGGGUUUUUAUUGCUUUUAACUCAAAAUAAUGUUCAUGUCAAAGUAACCCAUUUGGGGCAGCCUGCCAUUGGCUCCUACAUGGUCAUUCAGAUUACCAAAAUAUAUUUCUCAUAUACAUUUGGUCUUUAUCCAUAGUUUCUAGCUCAUAUCUCCCCAAAACACUUGUAAUCUCAUGAGUGAUAUGAGCAAUGGGAGCUUUUUAUUAUUAUUUUUUUUAAUAUUUGGUCUCCUGUCCCCAAUUCCUAAAAUCACUUCAGAGCCAUAAGGGCAAAACUGGUGUUUUGUUACUCUAACAAGCCCCUUUCCACCAAAACUGGGUUUAUGUUAAUGAGUUGAAUUUUGGAAACCACCUAAGGACGGGGACUUGUUGCCAUGUAUAGCAUCAGGAAUUUUCAGUCCUACCCCCUGAUUUUAGGGGAGGGUAAAAGUAGGUUGAAUUAAUCACCAAUAGGCCAUUAUUUCAUCAAUUGUGCCCAUGUAAUAUGCGUCUAGUAUGGUUUGGAGAGCUUUCUGGAAGAGUGGCACCCCUGGAUAGGGCAUAGAAGCUCCUCACCCCUUCCCACAUACUUUGCCCUAAGCAUCUGUUCCAUCUGGCUGUUCCUGAGUUAUAUCCUUUUAUAAUAAACCAAUAAUCUAGUAAAUAAAA